ACCAACUAUUAUUUAUGAUGAAUGAAUCUAUCAUAAUAAAAUUUGGACAUGUUGGUCAUUUUUUUAAUUUUUAUAAUUUUUUACUAAAUCUAUAAUGUUGAUGGAAAGGAUUAUUUGAUAACUUUGUUUUCUCUAAAUAAUAAAAUUGGGUGUGAAAUUGGGGUCGUGAAAUUUAUCUUUUCCAGAAAAUGAAAUUGAUUUGAUGAGUAAUGAUGCCAAUUUUUUAGAAGACUAAUUUCUACUUUUUCUUAAGGAUUAAAAUAAAUUCUUACAGGAUUAAUUUCUGCAUUUUUUUAUGAAGAAAUUUAAAAUGAAUAGUGUAAGGCUAGAAACAUAUUAAAUACUUUAUUUAUUGUGUAAGGUUUUGUUGGAUGAGGCUUGGGGUGAUUAUGAAGCUAGAAAAUAAGGAGAAAAGGUGGAUAAAGAAAGAAGGAACAGAUGGCCCAAGAUUAAAAUAUUCAUUUCUAGCUUUUAGUUUUGUGAGAAACAACCAACCAACAUGGCUUCUCUGCUUCCUACAACUGCCACAACACUUCAACAUAAUCGUACCAUCUGCUUCUCUCCUCUCAAACUCAGCAUCCCAAUUACCAUUUCCUUUUCGACAAACCGUUUCAAGAGUGCCUCUCCAAAGUGCAAUGCAGUUUUUGGUGAUAUUCCCAAAGACUUGUUGGAGACCACUUUUCACUUGGACCAGUUUUCUGUCUUCCAAUCAGUGUUAGUGAAGUUUCAGCAUGUAACUGAAGAUUUAUCAGACGUGCAGAGGUGGGGGUUUGUGAUACUUGCAGGGCUGACAUGGACCUAUUUAACUGCGAGGCCGGGUGUCCUUGUGGGCGCCAUUGAUGCAUUCCUUUUGGCCCCUAUUCAACUGCUUUUGGACACUUUAUCUGGAAGAAGAAAUCUUAAGAGGACUGAUUUUCUUAUUGGAGAUAAACUUGGAGAAGGGUCUUUUGGUGUUGUUUAUUCAGGUUUUUUCAUCCCAAACAAUGUAGAUGCACAAGAGUGGAUUCAAAAAAAUGGAAGAGGCAAGGUGAAAAAGUUUGAUGCCAAAUCUAAGGAUAAAGUCAUUCUUAAAAAGAAUGUGCAGGUAAAGGUUGGAAUUGAAGGGGCAGAGGAAUUUGGUGAUUUUGAGGAGUGGUUCAAUUACAGACUCUCCAGAGCAGCUCCUGAAACAUGUGCUAAGUUUCUUGGAAGUUUUGUAGCUGACAAAACGAAUUCACAGUUCACAAAAGGUGGAAAAUGGCUAGUUUGGAAGUUUGAGGGAGGGCGCUCUCUUGCUGAUUACAUGGCUGAUCAAAGCUUCCCAUCAAACUUAGAGUCUACCAUGUUUGGACGUGUCUUGCAGGGUGUAGACUCUUCUAAACGAAAUGCAUUAAUCGUCAAGCAAAUAAUGCGCCAGAUCAUUACUUCUCUCAAGAAAAUUCACGACACUGGAAUUGUUCAUAGGGAUGUUAAGCCUGCCAACUUGGUAGUUACCAAACGGGGGCAGAUUAAACUGAUCGAUUUUGGUGCUGCAACAGACCUUAGAAUUGGAAAGAAUUAUGUUCCCAAUCGUAACCCCUUGGACCGUGACUACUGCCCGCCUGAACUGUAUGUUCUACCAGAAGAAACUCUGAGCCUUCCACCAGAGCCAAUUGCAGCUUUCCUUUCACCAAUCAUGUGGCAGUUAAAGAGUCCUGAUCUGUUUGAUAUGUAUUNUGCUGGGAUUGUAUUCCUGCAAAUAGCAAUUCCAACCUUAAGAUCUUCAGUUGCUUUGAAGAAUUUCAAUUUGGAGAUAAGAACUUGUGGAUAUGAUUUGAACAAAUGGAGAGNGUCUACUCGCAUGAGGUCUGACUUCCAAAUUCUUGAUAGUGACUCUGGAAGAGGUUGGGACUUGGCAACAAAGCUUAUCUCCAAGAGAUGUUCACAAUUAAGAGGACGUUUAUCUGCUGCUGCUGCUUUGAGGCAUCCUUAUUUCCUUCUGGGUGGAGAUCAGGCUGCCGCAGUCCUUUCAAAACUAAGCUUUUAAAGCACAAAAUGAGCUGCUUAGAAAUGAUAUGUAGCACAACAAGUUUAUGAGCCGAAAGAGCCAUUGGUCCAUGAGGGCAUGAGACACCUAAGGUAUGUGCACAAAAGAAAAAGGGAAAUCUUCAAGCUGAGGUAGCAUGAGUAAGUGCAGACGUUGUUACUAACUGGAGCUGGCAUAAAUAGUGGGAGGUGGUUAGAUGUGGGAGAAUAUUUUUGUUAGUGUCUCAUGAGGCAGAGGGGACAGGGGAUUAUGAUCUGAUUUUCUGUUAGAGGAGCUAUGCUAUGGGCAAUUAGAGGUUUCCUCCUUCUGUAGUUUCCUUUAAAUUGCAAAUAACAUACAAUUCUGUAGUGCCUUCAUAUUUUCUGCUUUUCCUUUUACCACUAUAAUAUUGGUCUGUAACACCUCUUCUGAUUAAACUGAUAAUAUGCAGGGAUAGUAUACCUAUUUGUUUUUGCUCUUUUGGUGAGCACAACCCACAUCACUGUUAAUUGAAGUUCUCAGUGGCAAUUUUAUUAAAGAACGUCUGUUUUCUUCCGGAGGAGCUCCUAUGAUAUGUAUAUAAUGGCAUCCCAUCUAAAGGCCGACUAAUUUGUAAAUUUACAAGCAGAAAUUCGCAGAUUUUCUUCCAUAUUUUCUAUGUUUAAGCCUGAGAACCUCCAGAAGAUCUGAAAGAAAAAAGCUAUCAUAGCUGCCUAGCAUGUUGGUGGUCUAAAUUCAUACAUGCCUUCCUUGUUAUCUGUUUGCCUAUAUAAUAUGACAUAUCUCCUCUCUCAAAAUCAAUGGCUUAUUCAAAUUCAGGAAGGAGUACUCAAUGGCUUACAAAGGCUUAACAAGCCUCUUUUCAUGAUUUUUUAUUCAGAGUUUGGCAGGAGAUGACGAGUAAUACCAAUGAGUACAAAAAGUAUAAAACUGGAGGAAGAGACAAUCUAUUGUUUUUUUUAUGAUAAGAACUUGCCUUAACAUGGGCCUUGUAGUAGCUUCUAAGAGUUGGAUGUGAGAAGAAGUCAUCAUCAGAGGUCAAGUUAAGGCCAGCAGCGUUUCCCCAUUUCACAUAUUGUGCUUUGCCUCCAUAUACCUCCCAGUUGUU